AACGAACGCUGGCGGCAUGCCUAACACAUGCAAGUCGAACGAGACCUUCGGGUCUAGUGGCGCCCGGGUGCGUAACGCGUGGGAACCUUCCCUUAUGUUCGGAAUAACUCCCCGAAAGGGGUGCUAAUACCGGAUCAUGUCUUCGACCCAAAGACUUAUCGCCUUUGGAUGGGCCCGCGUUGGAUUAGGUAGUUAGUAGGGUAAAAGCCUACCACGGCGACGAUCCAUAGCUGGUGUGAGAGGAUGAUCCGCCACACCGGGACUGAGACACGGCCCAGACUCCUACGGGAGGCAGCAGUGGGGAAUAUUGGACAAUGGGCGAAAGCCUGAUCCAGCAAUGCCGCGUGAGUGAUGAAGGCCUUAGGGUUGUAAAGCUCUUUUACCCGGGAUGAUAAUGACAGUACCGGGAGAAUAAGCUCCGGCUAACUCCGUG
rnacentral:rRNA from 1 species